CCUACGGGUGGCAGCAGUGAGGAAUUUUGGUCAAUGGGCGAGAGCCUGAACCAGCCAAGUCGCGUGAGGGAGUACUGCCCUAUGGGUUGUAAACCUCUUUUGUCGGUGAGCAAAAGCCGGACGUUUCCGGCUUUGAGAGUACCCCAAGAAAAAGCAUCGGCUACCUCCGUUCCAGCAGCCGCGGUAAUACGGAGGAUGCGCGCGUUAGCCGGCUUUAUUUGGGUAAAAGGCUGCGCAGUCGGAUUUUUAAUUCAGCGGGAAAAUCGUUGGGCUCAACCCCAUCCAGCCGUUGAAACUGGGGAUCUUGAGUGUGCGAGAGGUAUGCGGAAUGCGUGGUGUAGCGGUGAAAUGCAUAGAUAUCACGCAGAACGCCGAUUGCGAAGGCAGCAUACCGGUGCACAACUGACGCUGAGGCACGAAAGCGUGGGUAUCGAACAGGAUUAGAUACCCCUGUAGUC
rnacentral:rRNA from 1 species